GACGAACGCUGGCGGCGUGCUUAACACAUGCAAGUCGAACGGAAAGGCCUCUUUCGGGGGGUACUCGAGUGGCGAACGGGUGAGUAACACGUGAGUAACCUGCCCUUGACUUUGGGAUAACUUCAGGAAACUGGGGCUAAUACCGGAUAGGAGCUCCUGCUGCAUGGUGGGGGUUGGAAAGUUUCGGCGGUUGGGGAUGGACUCGCGGCUUAUCAGCUUGUUGGUGGGGUAGUGGCUUACCAAGGCUUUGGCGGGUAGCCGGCCUGAGGGGGUGACCGGCCACAUUGGGACUGAGAUACGGCCCAGACUCCGACGGGAGGCAGCAGUGGGGAAUAUUGCACAAUGGGUGGAAGCCUGAUGCAGCAACGCCGUGUGCGGGAUGACGGCCUUCGGGUUGUAAACCGCUUUCGCUCAUGACGAUGCUUUGUGUGACGGUAGUGGGUAAAGAAGCACCGGCUAACUACGUG
rnacentral:rRNA from 1 species